rnacentral:lncRNA from 1 species
AUGAGAUUUGUUUCUUCUCCCAGCGGACGCACUAGUGUACAUUCAUCAUUUAGGAAUUUGGCUGGUUUCAUGGAGCCCGGCGCCUCGCUGAGCAGUCACAGAAGAUUGCAAACCAUGAAGCUCUCAUCCAGUGAUCCAUUACAGAGACUACAGUGGGAACAUGUGAUGGUGUUUCAACAUUUGGAUAACUGCAUUUGCGGCUGCCAUUUUGUUUGAACCUAAACUACCCUACUGAAGUCAAGUACAGCUUUAAAGCACUCCAAAGGGUUGUCAUGGAGCUGGAAACCAACGCACUCUCCAGGAUCGGUAUCAAAGACUGUCAGUGUGCUGUGUGUAAUGGCGAAGUGGACAGGAUGCAAAUGUUCACCAUCUUGGAUUGUUAUUGCUCCUUCCAUUGCACUGAUGGUGGACUUGACAUGUUAUGCAUUCUUAAAGCUAUAAAAAAGACUUAUAGGUUGACAUGACAAAGUUAGUUAGUUAGUUAGUUCGACAAAUAAGAAUUCAGAAUAUUGAACAUGAAUAAAUCAUUUUCAGUAAAGAUAUUUUCUUCAGUGUACUUGAUACUAUGAUAUUUUGUAACACAUAACAUAAAGUCUAAAACAGAUCAUCAUCUUGGCCUUUUUCCCAUCCUAUCAAGUCUAGCUCAAAGACACCUUAGAAUAUUUCUGCCACAAUUCAUUCACUUUAAUAUAACAAAAAUCGAGGUUACACAAUAAUUCCUGGUAACUCAAACUUCACAAGAUGAUAUAAUGCAUAUCAACCAUGGUGUCUUACAUGGCGUGUAACUUUAAAGCCUAUGCCUGACUUUUUGUGCGACUGAAAGAACUGAAAAACCUUCCACCUGAACCUCCCCCCGUCUUUAUUACAUUAAUCAUACUCGCGUAUAUUAAAUGAAAUCCAUUUAAAUACCCCUGGUUGCACAAAUAAUUUGUGUAGCCAGGUUGAAAGAGUUGGGAGUCAAAGGCGGCAUAAUUAGACGGGACGAUUCUGAAACCUAAUACAAGAUGUAAUUAAGGAAAUUAAUAAGGUGCCAGCCCCCUUUCACUGGGUGCUCCGCCUGAUGAUUAAUCACAGCCUGGGCUAAUUUGAUUUGUGACAAGGAAAGGGAUGACUUGCUAAGUCAGUUAGGAGAGCCCAGUUCGACAGCAUAUGACAUUAAUAAAACAUGAAUUGUGGGGGUUCAGGGAGGAACAAAAAUCCACUUGCGAUCUACAUGAAGCAAUCAGAUUAAAGAAGUCUUUGGAUAGAUAGUGUUGUGACAAAGUCACUGACAGGGGAGUGACUGGAAUUUAAUCAAUGUCUCUGAUGUUACAGUAUUGUUAUCACUGAAUAAUUGGACUCAACACCUUUAUAAAUAAACAAGUGUUGACCCGUGGUAAAUCCAAACUACAUUCCAGACAUAAUGUGAACUUUUAAGAAGCUGAGAACAGUGUGUGACAGAUCGAAGCAGUAAAGUUGUGAAAGAUGAUGGCAGGGCAUUAAUCACUGCGCAAUCAGAUUGGAGGAUAGAUGGUGCAGUACUUGUUCAGGGACACAAAGAGCCUG